rnacentral:sRNA from 1 species
AACGCUUACUUACUUCUAAAUGCUUACUUAGACUUCACAUACUUACGUGGUCUUUGUGUCUUCCUCCAAGGACUUAGACAGACGAGGUAGUCGUGGCAGUAUAUUUGGAACUUUAGGACUGGGUGAUCUCACAGGGGGGAGUUCACACAAUCAGAGGAGGCCAAGUUUUCAAGCGUUUGGAGAAAGUGUGAUGCAACUGUUUGGUAACAAGUGAAAGUAUUCCAGCCAAAGUUCAACAAACUACUUAGCUCUACCCUCCUCGUGAUAUCUCUAUGUUGUGUGACGUAUUUUGUACAUACAACUAUGUCUAUUUAAAUGGCUUGUUCACUAAUAUAUGUACCAAAUGCACUUUUACAACCCUUUCCUUGUUCCUUAAAAACAAAUCUAUUUUUGUAUACAAUUUUUUCAAGCCCUGCCUGCUCUUGUCCAUGAUUUAUGUCUCCUUAUAUUUUUUUAUAACCGUAUGCAUAAAUGAUCAACAUGUCCAUGCAGAUUUUGGGUAAUAACUGUAUAUUUAUAUAUAUAUAUACUAAUAUAUAUAUUCAUAUUUAUAUAUCUAUAUAUAUAACUAUUUAUUUGUUUAGAUGAAAUGUUUAUGAAUAGGCUACAGCUGGUAACUCUACGGCACUGAUUCAAUCAGAGCUACAACGAUCGAUAGUAAUCCAAGUGUCGGCUAUUAUUGGAAGUCUGUGAUGUAGUUAUUGCAGGGAUCGAUGGUCCUCUCAGGCUGUGAGAGCUGGUGUUAUAUUGUAGUACCAGACUCUUGACCAUAUGAGACUCUGAUUGUAUGGUGAGUCAUAGAUGUGGCUCGACUCGCCCCAUAAAUGUUAACUACUGGAGUAGCUUAGCUUGGUGUUCCAUUCUAUUAUUAUAUUUGUAUUGAAAUUAUUUUUUUUUAGUUGUCACUUUGGCACUAUUAAGAUCUUGUCUGCAAUAAUUACACAUUUGAGCAAUAAUGUUUUGUCUCGCGGAAUCUCAAAGUAUUAUUUUAUAAUCAAUAGAAAUGGAAAUCAUUAUUGUAGUGAAUUAAAAAUGUGACCAUGUUACAAACAAUACUGAACCGUGUAGUCCGUCAGUUUAUUUAAAAACAUAUUUAUUAAAGUCUCAAGUUUUAUUUCCGUCCUUAUUUCUCAUUAUUCACCUACGUAGCCUAGAAACUGCUACAGUAAAUGUUUAUAAAUAAAGUAACUCAUUCCACAUGUAACUCAUUCGACACCCAUUAUAGAAUGAUUCAACAAUGUACAACAAAAUGACUGAAAAAAUUUAUUAUAAAACCGAUACAUUAAUUUACAAAUACGAUAUCUAUCUAUUCUUUCAAUGGAAAUGGUUAAAACUAAAACUAACUAGCCCAAGGAGUAUCCAUUGAGUAACGAAGAGAACAGUAUAAGUUUCUUAUUGGAACAUUCAGCGCUCAAAGAUUGACCGACAUGUACAUUGUUGAACACCCAUUCAGCGCUCAAAGAUUGACUGACAUGUACAUUGUUGAACACCCAUUCAGCGCUCAAAGAUUGACCGACAUGUACAUUGUUGAACACCCAUUCAGCGCUCAAAGAUUGACCGACAUGUACAUUGUGGAACACCCAUUCAGCGCUCAAAGAUUGACUGACAUGUACAUUGUUGAACACCCAUUCAGCGCUCAAAGAUUGACUGACAUGUACAUUGUGGAACACCCAUUCAGCGCUCAAAGAAUCUGGGAAGUCUUUCACAUGCCCUUAUUUUUCAUCUCAACCAAACAACAACAUAUUACUGUUUGUUAUACUUAUUGCUACACGUAUUGUUAUUCUUAGUAAAUAAAUCAUGGGAUAUAAUCAGUAGCGAUUUUUUGAUCAGCAUUACAUUUAUGUGAUUAUUCAAAUGGUAAUUAAAACAAUAACCUGAAUCCCCUUGAAAGGAAUUAGAAUGUCGUAUAAUUUAAAGGUGAAUGUGAAUUAGAAUGUCGUAUAAUUUAAAGGUGAAUGUGAAUUAGAAUGUCGUAUAAUUUAAAAGCUGAAUGUGAAUGGUAAUAAUCUCAAAGGAAAGGUUUUUACUGCACAGUUUGUCAGUGGACGCUACUGGUUAGAGAUAGACUUUAACAAUUUAAAGGUUAUUAAACGUCGGAAACGGUCAUCAGUUGUAUUUCAAUGUCGAUAAAUAUACAAAUAGAUAAGCAUUGAACUAUUUCAACAUGAUCAUAUUUACUUUUGAUUCAAUUUUGAUUUUACAACAUAGUUGACUCGAGCAUCAAUUUUGAUUUUUGAAAAUCAAUCUUAGAAGCGUUUGAGUCAUUAGCGAAGAAAAGUAAAUUUCUACCAGACAACUUGCACUUUGUUUGAUUCAACAGACAAUAGAAAGAAAAUGGAAGAACAUCAAAAAAUGGCAAUAAAAAUAUGGAAUGCAAUUACUAAAUGGAAUAAAAUAGACUCAAAAGCCCUUUUUCAAAUGGUCCAAUUUUGUAAACCAUUAUUUAAAUCGGCAGAAAACGUUUGAAUAUUUCUUUUAAAUUAUGCUUAAUGUGGAAAAAUAAAUAAAUAUAUCAUUAUCAAAUACAUUUUACUACAUUAUUUUUUCUACUCACAUAUAAGGUCUAGUAAAAUUUUGUAUAUCAAAAUCUUUGGCUGUUUUAUUUAUGCAAAACACACAUACUUAUUACCAUAAUCUCAUGACAUUUUAUCUGUUAAGGAUGUUUUAGAUAUUUCUAUUUCUCUUUAACAUCACUAAUAUGCCUAGAGAUGAAAACAUUUAUUUAAGCUCUAUUUUUUAUUUUAACUCUCAAACGCCAAAUUGUUUUCCAAUGCCAUAUCUGUGAACUCUGACCCUGUACAUCUACUUCUUUAUGACAUGUUAUGUUCACCUUUAUGUUUCACUCUCCGGUACUACCAGAUUCAAAACUAACUCUAUAUUUCUAUUCUGUAUUGAUCCCAACCAUCUUCUUUGUUGUACGUUGAUGUCAACUCAGCACUGAUUCAUUUGGAACAAAUCGUUCAUCGCCAUGUCAUUGGCAUGUAUUAUGUAUUAGAUAUACCAGGAGUUCAACAUGUUCUUUAUUGUGUUCGAUGUUUCAAAUAAAUUCCAGGACUUCCA